AGCGAACGCUGGCGGCGUACUUAACACAUGCAAGUCGAACGAGGAUCGUCGGUGUAGCAAUACAUUGGCGGUCCUAGUGGCGCACGGGUGAGUAACACGUGGGUGACCUGCCCUUGAGCUCGGGAUACCCCCUCGAAAGGGGGGCUAAUACCGGAUACGUUCCUUGGUUGAAAGACUGGGGAGGAAAGGUGGCGCAAGCUGCCGCUCUUGGAGGGGCUCGCGGCCCUAUCAGCUAGUUGGCGGGGUAACGGCCCACCAAGGCUAUGACGGGUAGCUGGUCUGAGAGGACGACCAGCCACACGGGGGACUGAGACACGGCCCCGACUCCUACGGGAGGCUG
rnacentral:rRNA from 1 species